rnacentral:rRNA from 1 species
UGGGGAAUCUUCCGCAAUGGACGAAAGUCUGACGGAGCAACGCCGCGUGAGUGAAGAAGGUUUUCGGAUCGUAAAGCUCUGUUUUCAGGGACGAACGGCAGAAAUAUGAAUAAUAUAUUUGCAUGACGGUACCUGAGGAGGAAGCCACGGCUAACUACGUGCCAGCAGCCGCGGUAAUACGUAGGUGGCAAGCGUUGUCCGGAAUUAUUGGGCGUAAAGGGCGUGUAGGCGGGGUAAUAAGUCUUUUGUAAAAGUGCGGGGCUCAACCCCGUAAGGUCAAUGGAAACUGUUAUUCUUGAGUGCAGGAGAGGAAAGUGGAAUUCCCAGUGUAGCGGUGAAAUGCGCAGAUAUUGGGAGGAACACCAGUGGCGAAGGCGCCUUUCUGGACUGUGUCUGACGCUGAGAUGCGAAAGCCAGGGUAGCGAACG